UACAUGGGGUGCAAACGUUGCUCGGAAUCAUUGGGCGUAAAGCGCGCGUAGGCGGUUAUUUAAGUUGGAUGUGAAAGCCCUCGGCUUAACUGAGGAAGUGCAUCCAAAACUGAAUAGCUAGAGUACGAAAGAGGGUCGCGGAAUUCCCGGUGUAGAGGUGAAAUUCGUAAAUAUCGGGAGGAACACCGGUGGCGAAGGCGGCGACCUGGGUCGAGACUGACGCUGAGGCGCGAAAGCGUGGGGAGCAAACAGG
rnacentral:rRNA from 1 species